GUACUUUUAUUUUUUGAAGGGCAUCUAAUCCUAUAAGGGACUUCAAAAUGUUAGACUCUGAGCAAGUUCCCUGCACCAGAAAGUUAAGGUCAAAAUCAUGCAGGUGUCUUAUGUUUUCCUCUUUCUUCAAGAAAAAAGGAAAAAGCUGGCAAGAAAAGGAAUGGAUCUUGCAUUACACCCUGUUUCCUAUUAGGAGGAAAGAACGAAAAGCAAGUUUGUCAGUGUCUAAUGGGGGCAUUACAGACAGUGCCAACAGAGCUAAGAAUUCCUGCGGUGACGGACAAAAAGGAGGUUCCAAGCAGUGUUAUGAUUCUUCUGGGUAGAACUAGAUUCCAUGAGUGCACCAUAUUCUAAAGAAUUGCCACAGAGAAUAGCUACUAUGUGGAUCAGAAAGAUGCUGCUGUCAUCUCACCCUGAAGAGUGAGAAAUGCAAAAUGAUUAAAAAAACAAUGAAACCAACUGAAUCUGAGUCUAG